rnacentral:rRNA from 1 species
CAGUAGCCGCGGGAAUACAGAGGGUGCGAGCGUUAAUCGGAUUUACUGGGCGUAAAGCGUGCGUAGGCGGCUAAUUGAGUCGGAUGUGAAAUCACCGAGCUUAACUUGGGAAUUGCAUUCGAUACUGGUUAGCUAGAGUGUGGGAGAGGAUGGUAGAAUUCCAGGUGUAGCGGUGAAAUGCGUAGAGAUCUGGAGGAAUACCGAUGGCGAAGGCAGCCAUCUGGCCUAACACUGACGCUGAGGUACGAAAGCAUGGGGAGCAAACAGGAUUAGAUACCCCUGUAGUCCCUGUCUCUUAUAC